rnacentral:lncRNA from 1 species
UGAAUAUGAAACAAAUUCUGGAACCACAGUCAUUCCUUCAAGCAUACUUACCACUGAAGACAUAGACGGCCUAAGGUUUGAAGUGUCAUUGGCGCAUAGGAGAGCGACAUUUAUCAUCACCAUGGCUUCCUUUUUUUUGAAAUCUGAACCUAAUCUGCUAUCAACUAGCUCCAUUAGGUCACCUCUCUCUUUCAACAAAUGUGCCUGUUCAAAGAAAAUAACAGAAUAGUUUGAUUUGAAACCCAAGUCAUUUUCAAUAGGCCCGUUCAAAUUCUGAAAAUUCUGCAAGGUGCAAAAUUGGUUAUAUUUCGAAAUGUAUUUUAAAGAUUACUAUUACAUCCUUUUCUGAACCCCUUCAUUCUACUUCUAGUACUUCUAGUGAAGUCUGAAACUUUAACAAAGAUAUUUUCUAUGACUUAUCAAUAGGGACACGUGAUUCUAUUCUCUUGUAGAGUUGGGUUAUUACAUGAAAAUGAACAAUAUAUGUACGACAGAAAAUCAAGUGUAAGUAGAUAGUGCCACAGAUAAUCAAAUUUACAUGAUCAAUGGAGAACAAAGAAUAGUUACCCAUUCAAGAAGAUAGAAUGCUUCCUCCUUUAACCGAUACAUGGUGUUGCUCCUUCCACUAACAAUUUCCAAAGCAACAAUUCCGAAACUAUAAACAUCUGCUUUGUCUGUCAAAUAACCAUGCAUUGCAUAUUCAGGAGCCAUGUAUCCACUGCAUAAUUGAAACAACUUGAUAUCAGUAUACACAAUGAUAUCAAAGUCUUAUAAAAAUAUCAUUUGAAUUGAAUUUGACAACUUUUUGGAGUACUUUCAAUAAACUCGGAGAAGGAAAUAAUUCUAGUUACUCACUAGGUCCCAGUGAGUUUUGUCCUCCUCAUCAAGCUUGGCCAAACCAAAAAUCUGAUAUCUUUGGGUCAAGAUCUUUAUCAAGCAACACAUUAGUGGCCUUGAUGUCCCUGUGAACAACCUUCAGUCUUGAUUCUUCAUGAAGGUAUGCCAAACCUCUUGCUAUACCAACACAGAUUUUCUUCCUUGUUGACCAAUCUACUGUUAUUUGGUGUUCCUCUCGACCUUUAUUUGUCAAUGCAACAAAAAUCAGAGAAUGAUACGACAGAGUUAUGUGUUAAGUUAGAAAAUAUGGAGUAGCAUAUAAUUAACAACCAGAGUAGACCAUAUAGGAAAAAUUACCAAAUAAAGCACGAGCGAGACUAUUGUUUUCCAUGUAUUCAUAUAUCAGCAAUAACUGAUCUCCUUCCACACAACAACCAUAGAGUUUAACAAGAUAAGGAUGUUGCAAAGCAGAAAUCAUUCCUAUCUCGUUUAAAAAUUCACGAUUCCCUUGCGUUGAUUUAGAAGAAAGUUGCUUCACUGCUAUCAAUUUCCCAUUGGGUAAACAUCCCUGCUUUUUUGAGGUGUGUUAUUUUCUUAGAAGUUGGAAAAGCACUUUCUGAGGAUUUGCUAUAUUAUACGAAAUACCUUGUACACGGGACCAAAUCCACCUUCGCCAAUCUUAUUGGAAAUAUCAAAGUUAUUUGUCGCUGCUUUGAUUUGUCUUAAGGUAAAUAAGCCCGUCUGUAGGUCCAAACUAUUUAGCUCUGUUAAAAAAUAUUACACAUGAACACUCUGCAUUGAAAAUCCAUUGGAUGUAAGCUUGCAACUUUCUUCUUAUCAAGAUAAUUCCUUAUUCUCGGGCCGCAUAACAUGAUAUACUAAUAAAAGUAUGUACUUAAAUCUACUCUAUUACACGACAUGGACACAAAUACGUUUAAUAGUAAUGACAACAAAAGUAGUUUCUUUGUGAUUACCUCUUGCUAAAGAAUUUUUCUUUCCAAAACAUCCUUUCCACCAUAGUAUAACAAAUACUAGAAUGAUAACAGUUAUUGCUGCAACCACAAUUCCAGCCACAACUCCGGCAGAUAUGCUUCCAGGUGGAGAGUCUGUUUGAUUAUAACACAAGAGUUUUAAAUAUUCUUAGAUCAUUACCGGGAGUUCAUAGUUUAAGAUUAGGAACGUGCAAAGCAUAACCCACCAGAUUCUACUGAUAUAGCUGAUAUAAGCGGACCAUGUACUGAUCUAUUUGGGAGAUACUGUGUCCCUUUCCCCGCCCAAUACAAGCGGUUCUCCAAUGUAUUAUUACUAGUAACAAGAACAUCUUUGAACAGUUUUAUGACUUUCUUACCAACCCCUCCUGCUUCUUCUGCAAUAUUGAAGUGCUUUUGCACCAAAUUUCCCUGCAACAUUUCAAUCACUGCCUGAAUGCUUUAUGAUGAUAUUAAUUUAAUUUUAUAAACAAUGGCAAAAAAAAUAAAAAAUCAGUUACGUAUUUUGGAAAGAAAAAUAUAGUUUGACAAUGUCCCUAAGUGACAAUUGAAAUAAAAUAGGUAAACCAUGUACCUGAAGGUAGAUAUCAAAUACACGCCUUCCAAGACUACCAUAAGUUUGAUCAUCAGUGAACAUUAUUUCAGAAAAAUAUAGAUUUACGGUGUAGUUUCCAUUUGCCAGGAAAAAGCCAUAAUAAGUCAAAGAAAUAGGAAAAACACGUGCAUUAAUUCAUGUACAAUUCAGCAUCGUUCAUAGUAAGUGUGGUGAUAUUUUGCGGGGAAUAAAUUUCUCCAAGUUGACCAUGAUCAAUGAAUAUACCAGUGGUAAUAAAUGCCCAAUUUCCUGUUGGACUGUGAUGGAAUUUAGUUGGUCCAGAUGAAUCUGAAUCAUCAUCAUAAGUUCUUUCGUUGACUGUUUCUUGCUUUCCACCACAAUUUAUAUAAAGGGAGUAUGAGGCUGGGUUGAGCAGAUCAUGUAAGUGAAUUUGAAAAUAUUAUGGAAACUACGAAAAUCAAUCAAAGAAAAACAUAUUCCUUGAAAAAUUAAUUUUCUCUACUCAUUCUCUUUAUAACUAUCUUGUUUCAUACACACAGCGUGAUUGUAGUGUCCAAAGAAAAUUUAGAGAACAAAAGUCACAAUGAAGAAACUCACGUUUGCGACAUUUCCUCAAACACGAAACUGUUCCUCUAAGAGAAUGAUAUACGGAAUAGAAUCAGUUACGAUGAUUAGUAUAUUAAGACUUAUACAUGAUAAGAGGGAAUAGAAUCUGUGUUUAGUAUUUUAUAAGACCAAACUUACAUGUAAUUGUGUGCCCAUGAGGUAGAAAACAAGUUCCUGCAAGAAAUUAGAAAAGGUCGUGUCUCAAAAAGGUUGUGAAAUUUGCAAACAAAUGCAAGUAUUCUUACACUUUUUCAUGGUGACAUAUCUGACUCCCUUGUCUGAUGUUGAAGUUAUUGUAAGAAAGAUCUCUAUAUACAAGUCAUAUAGUUUGACUCAGAAUAUAAUAAUGAUGAUGAUACAAUCAGAGAAUUGAUGAUACAUUUUUCAAUUCAAGGAAUCAUACGAGUAUUAUUUGAAAGGUAACUUACUCGUUAACUUUCGGUUUCCAGGAAGGCACCAAUCCAGUGAGAAGGUUUCCACUUAAAAAUCUACCAUAAAAGAAUAUCAAGAUAUUAUUUUCCAAAGCUUAAUAUUUAUUGAGGUGAACAUCGAGGGAAAUAAGCUAGUCAUCUUCAAUGACACCCAUUUGCCUCUUCUCCAUGCAAAGCUUGAUUUAGGUAACGGUCUUGUGGGACCCUUCUAUACAGAAAAGUGUUUUAUUUGAAAGAUGUUUGUGUAGUCUAUAGACAGCAAAAAAUAUAAUUAGCAGACAUAUUCCUAGCACUUACAGUAUUGCAACCAUAUAACUAAUUAAAUUUCAUCAUGACUUAUCCGUUACUAUAACAUUGGAAAUUACGCAAAAAAAGCAAUUAAAAAUAUACUCCCAAGCAAAUUACGCAAAGAAACUACGAUGAAUUUCGUACAUGUAUCACAGACUGUUAUUGGUAGCAUAGAUACUUGGAAUUGUUCCACUUAUGCUGUUAAAGCUGAGGUCUCUGAAAAAGAUAUCAUGCAUAUUACAAGUGUUUUAAUUUUGACAUAAUCCCAAGAUAUUGAGUUAGUGUUCCGUUGAUAUUGCAAUUCCUCAGAACCCUGUGAAACAAUAAGAUAGACGGAGAUUUAUUAGGAGUGCCUCUCGUUCUUUUUUUUCUUUCUUUCUUUUCUAUUACUGAGAGGCAGAGGAAUCAACUCACAGAGUUUUUAACAAAGUCAUAUUAUUAAGUUGUGGUAAAGGUGCAUAUUCAGAUCCAUUCAAAUCACUAAUUAUCCUGAAUAUCAAAGGUAAGUAAACAUAAGUAGUAUGAAAUUUAAAUUUCAAACCUUGAUUUAUCAGUAAUAUAUAAUAUCAUACAUACAACUCAGUUAAGUUUUUCAAAAGUGAAAUUCCAGAAGGAAUAGGCCCACUUAAUCCACUUCCUUGAAUCAUUCUGUCCAAAGUAAUCCAUUGAGAUUUCUAUUUGAAAGUCAAGCAAUCCAAAAACUAUUUAAUUCGAGGAAAAAUUAAUAUAAAAAAGGAAAGCAUACAGCUCACUGAUAUUUGACCAGUUCUGAAUAAAAUCAGGUAUCUUUCCAGAGAAUUGGUUGUCUGAAAUUUUGCUGCAUUGAGUGAGGACAUGAAAAUGCGAAGCAUUAUAAAUAAUAUUUUUAAUUUAGGCAUCAAUCUUCACUAAACAUCACUAUAAAAAUUUGAGCUUACAAAUCUAUCAAUGUAGUCAGCUUUGCCAAUGUUGCAGGUAGUUCACCCGUAAAAUUGUUAGAUGAAAUUUGCCUAUAUAUAUAAUUGAAAAACAAAGCAGUAAAAUAUGAUUCUUAGCAGUGGAAAUUAAAGUGUAUUUUAAACAUUGAGCUUUCAUAUUUCAGGGGGGGAAAUCAAGUUCUUACAGUCUUCGAAUUUGUGUUAGAUAUCCAAGCUCAAGAGAAAGAAUUCCAGACAGUUGAUUGUUCCAUAACUGCCUAUCCAUUUUAAGUUAAAGUUAAGUUCAAUUGAAACUCUUUGAAUUGAACACAAAUGGAUUUUUUUUCUGCUAAGGUGGGUAAUGAGAAACUUACAAGUCUUGGAGAGUAGUUAUGUUUGCAAUCUCCACUGGUAUUGAACCCGUUAAUUGAUUUCCGAUGAGAGAACUAUGAUGAUUAAGAGACAUGUUGUCAUUAGCUUAUCGGUGCAUGUAAUUAAUACAAGUCUAUUAGAAAAUGAAAGUAAAAGUCUUACAAAGAAUGUAAAAUUAGACAAUCCAUACAUUUUAUUAAUAUUCAUCAUGGAGCCCCCCCAUUCUUUAAGAAUUGUGCCACCCAGGUAGUUGCGAGUGAGGUCACUGUAAUAGAGAGAGGGAGAGAAGGAGUUUGUCAAGCAAAAUAAUAUUUAGAUACAUGUGAUUGUAGAUAUAAAAAUAAUACAUUGUUAAUUUGGAUGUGAUAGAAAGUUUGGGAAAUACAUACAUAAUUUGAAGGUAACGCAACCUGUUCAGUUCCGUUGGGAGAGUGCCGAGGAGAUUUUGGUCUUUCAAACUUCUGUAUAAUCAUUUUUCCAAGAAAAAGUUAAACAUAAACAAUAGGCAAAAUAAUUUUAUAAAUUAUUGCCACAAGCUCCUAUUCUGCAGAGCGUUUAAAACUGCUUUUAUUAGAAGAGCCGCUUCUGCAGAAAAGAGACUUACAUUUCAACAACAUGGCAAAAGUUGUCACCGGCCACAGAGCAGUUACAGGCGACUUUGUUCGCUGCAUUUGUAAACCAUUUAGGUUUGUUGCUGCAUGGAUCAAUGUCGAAGUUCCAAUCCUUCUUCCCAAGUGAUUUGGCUAUACUUUCAAGAGCUUUCUCUAAAUAUACAAUUGAGAGCUAUCAGCUAAUUCAAUACUGAAAAAUAUUCUACACUUCAAGUGUGUGUGUGUGAGUAGUUAUGAGCAAAAUAUACAUGAUAUUUACUAACAUGAAUCCUUAGAUAAAAAGACUAGAAAAGAAAGAUCAAAGAAAUUUCUUUAUUGUAUGGUAGCUAUAGCAGAAAUAGAUAUCAUACUUUCCUCGGGGUGAAUAGUAGUAUUAGCUCCAGAAACUGAUAUGUACCAAAUAACAAUGAGUGAAAGGAAGAGAAAUUGAGAUGAAGUGUUCAUCUUAAUAUUAACAAGGAAAGCAAAAGUUUAGAUAUAUCAACUAUGAAGCACAGAUACGGACACGGACACCGGACAUAACACGUACACUUACACGCCGACACUGCUAAUAAUUUGAGAAAAUCACAUAAUCCAUUGUAAUUAUUAUGUGUCGGUGUUGGACACGACACACGGAACAAGCCUCCGAGGAGUGUCCGUGCUUCAUAGUAUAUCAAUAAUUUAGAGGUUGAGAUUCUUAAUAUAAAUAUAUACAGUGUGUAUUUGGAAUUUAAUAGGCCCGAGAGUUUGAACAAUUUUUUAAUUGGAAAAUUUUGGAAGAGAAAAUAUUUUGGAAAAUUUUGCUGUCUCUGUUCAUAAGACCCUUAUGAAAUUCAAGGUGCAUUAAUGAACUUUUCACAAAAAUAACCUAAUUAAAUGAGGAUAAUUAAAAGUUCAACUAUUUAUCUCUCUAUACAUUGAAGGAUACUUUUGCAAAUAGAAUUUAUAUUAUUGACAAAAUUUAUGAAAAGUUCUUAAUUAACGCAUCUAAACGCAGUUAUGAGAGUAAAUCAUCAAUUUAGUCCCUGAAAUUGUAGGGUUUUUAUUCAAUUUAUUCCUUACAAUUAUUAUUAUGCAGACUACAAUGACCAGGAUUAACUAAUGUGAUUGAGACCUCUGAAAAAAAAACUAAUGUGAUUGAGAAUUUAAUUUUUAAAAUCUAAACCCUAAAACAGUAAAUCAUUUUUAAAAUUUCAUUGACGUCCAAGGAGAAGCUACCAUUUUUCCAUGUCACACAAUCAGUUUCAAAAUAACCAUACAAUGCAUAUCCUUAAAUUCCAUUUUACAUGGUACAUUGAUUGAUGAAUGAUUAGCCAGAAAGAAAACAAAAGAAAUGAAAGUAAAUUAUGGUGUUCAAUUCACAAUGAUGAGACAUAUGCAAUUAUUUUACAACAUUGAGACAAUUCUGCAUGUACUAUACCCCACACAUAAACAGCAGAAACAAUUAUUCUUUCAAAAAUAGAAAAGUGACAGAGUUGAUGCCUGUGAGGUUGUCGUAAGUGUCAAAAUCAAACACAUAUUAACUCAUCUGUGGACGAACUAUCAGCCGUUAUCAAGCUCCGCCGCUCACCACUGCAAACUUGUCACACACGUGUUUCUCCAUCAUGAGUUCUGAAAGUAUCUUAACAUUUCACUCUCUUUUAUUAAGAAAUGAACGGAACCAACUUGAAUAUAAUUUAGAACUUUACUCGAUAAUUAACUUGUUAAACUCAUUUUAUGAAAAAAGGACAAAUGAUUGAUAUCAGGUGUUGUGACAAUUAAAUAAAUGUUUAGUCCAAGGGAUAUAAUUAACUCAUCUCAAUUUCACAAUAACAACUCCUCUAAUAAGAAAGGAAUUUAUCAACCAUUCACAUUCGCAUCUUCUCCAAUCCACCUUCAUAUUUAUCAUUCUUUCUCAACGAUAAUUGAGCAACCAAAAUCUGACGACAAUUUCACAAAAAUCAAAUACACGCAAAAUAUAUGUUAGUUUAAUGAUAUUAUUUACUUUUUUUUUAAUGACAAUUAUUAGUAAUUAAUUGUUAUAUUAAUCUAUAAUCAUUCUUCCGAUUUAAACCAAAACCUCCAACUCCUUAUCCCUUAACUUCAAUCAGUUGAACUCUCCAGGAACUAUAACAAACACAUAACUGAAAUUAAUCUCGAAUCUCUUCCACAAAUAACAAUAUGCUUCUUUGCUUAUUGCUUACAAGUUACACCCAAUGCUUCUUUGUGAUUAUAAACCUUUGAUCUAUAAAGCACAGACACUCCUCGGAUUAGGUGUGUCAUGCGUUGGUGUGUGACACCGACACCUGUGAUUACCCUAAAUAUGUCAUUUACUUAAAUUAUCAUUGGUAUCAGUAUGUCGGUGUUUGUGCUUCAUAGUGUUUGAUUCAUCAUUGCUUGUCUUGAAGGGUCUAAAUUAUAAUGUCCAAAUGUUGUGCUUGGAAGAUCAAACACCUACCAUUACCCUUUUUGUCACCAUUAUCAUUUUGCUUGGUGAAUAGGCAUUGAGUAUUGACAAUGGGGAAUGUCAAAUUUUUCACGUUGUCCUAAGUUUGACAAAUUGUAAGAUUUUAUUUAAUCAAUUAAGUGAGUUAUUCUGAUACUUGGUAAGUGAGGAUCAAGUAGGUUAAAAUAUGAAAUGAGCCCACUAUAGUUGUAGCACUCCAGAAAACUUCAGCAUUAUUCAUUAAGGCAUGUCCUUGUCAGUUACAGUUACCUUGGGUAAAUUAUCAGUAGAUUUCAAUAAAUAAAUCCCGACACAUGUGUAAAACCCAAAUGAAAUUAUAUUCUUUUUCAUACUCCAAAUAAGAAAAUGCAGCUGAAUAUGUCAGCUCAGUAAAAGUGGCACCAACAAACUCAAGCAUUGGUAAGCGGUAUAUGUUGGUUUAAUAUGUCGAGUCCAUCACCAACAUAAAUGAAAAUGCAUUAAACAGUUUGACAGAAUCCGAACGGACCCAAAAAAUAUCUCGGAAAAUUUAAGAACCAUCAACCAUUUCAAAUAUAUAUACAGAUUUAUCAUCAAGAAACAGUUUCAUCAGAUGUUGCAUUCUUGAUCUUGGAUCCCUUAUAGCCUUGUUAUAUUUGUGAUGUGUAUUAUAAAUAUGAUUGAUAAUACUCUUUUUGUUGGUUUUUUUUCUUGCAAAUCCAUAAGAAUAUUUUUUGGAAGAUUGUUUUCUGUCAUCUAGAUAACUAAUAUUGUCUCUUCACAAUUAGAUAACCUGCAUAAGAUAAACCCUCAAUCUGAACGGACACUCACAUUUUAUGGAUCAUGUGCUUUUGCAUUUCAACCACUUCUUGUAUUCUUUAUAUACACCACUUAUUUCACAUCUCAAUUCAAGUAUCUAUCAUAGCACCCCCAUAAUACACAAGUACCUACCAUAGCUCCACCCCUAAGAGUCGGCGUCCCAACAGGUGGCACUCUGUGACACUUUACUUGGUAAAUUUAGUUUGCCUCUCCAUAUAUAACCCUUUCCAAGUCACCGACAACCAGCUCCGACACUAGUUGUUUGAAACUGGUAAUCAUAACUACAAAACUAAAUUGAAAUACUAACUUCUAUUGAAUAAUUCUUGUUAAUGUGAGCAGAAACUGGAUUACAAAUUUACAACAGGAAUUCUAGGUUACAAAAUUAUAAGAGACGAAACAAAUGGAAAUUAAGAUAGAAACAACAGGUUUUCCUUCGGUUUCCCUAUUUGUUGAAUAAAUUCCUAAUAACAAAACUUCCUGCCUAAUACAUAUCUGCUUCCUAACAACAUAAUACUAGUCUUUUUGAAAUUAAUAUGAAGUCUAACACACUCUUAAUUUUUUUCAUCCCAUGAGGAAGAAUCAAGUGGACAUGAACCAGUACAUUGAUCUUUAAUUGAUAAACUCCGACUUUGUGACUUACUUACCUUGCUGUUUUCAUCUAUUUGAGAGUAAUACUGACUCAUUUCUUGCAACUUCUUUUCAUCCAUCACUUCAUUUGAUUCUGAAACAAAUUCUGGAACCACAGUCCUUCCUUCAAGCAUACUUACCACUGAAGACAUAGGCGGCCUAAGGUUUGAAGUGUCAUUGGUGCAUAGGAGACCCACAUUGAUCAUCACCAUGGCUUCCUUUUUGUUGAAAUCUGAACCUAAUCUUUUAUCAACUAUUUCCAGUAGGUCACCUCUCUCAUGCAAUAAUUGUGCCUGUUCAAAUAAAAAAACAGAAUAGUUUGAUUUGAAACCCAAGUCAUUUACAAUAGGUAGAUUCUUCAACUUCUGAAAAUUCUCUAAAGUGAGAAAUUGGUCGUAUUUAU